GAUGAAGAACGUAGCGAAAUGCGAUAAGUAAUGUGAAUUGCAGAAUUCAGUGAAUCAUCGAAUCUUUGAACGCACAUUGCGCCCCCUGGUAUUCCGGGGGGCAUGCCUGUCCGAGCGUCAUUACAACCCUCAAGCUCAGCUUGGUGUUGGGCCCCGCCGCCCCGGCGGGCCCUAAAGUCAGUGGCGGUGCCGUCCGGCUCCGAGCGUAGUAAUUCUUCUCGCUCUGGAGGUCCGGUCGUGUGCUCGCCAGCAACCCCCAAUUUUUUUCAGGUUGACCUCGGAUCAGGUAGGGAUACCCACUGAACUUAAGCAUAUCAAUAAGCGGAGGA
rnacentral:misc_RNA from 1 species